rnacentral:lncRNA from 1 species
CUUUAAGACAGAGUAAAGCACAACACCUUAAACAUACAGGUCCAGAGUGUCAUCGUAUCAGUCGUCAACGUAUAUCAAAAAACUACAGCUACUAAACAUGCAACUUCUUUUUCUUCUGCUCUGUUUGUUUGUUAAACCAGCUUUUCUCCAGGAGAGCCAAUGGGCCAAAUUGAUCUUCCAGAUUGGAGCACCGGUCAUGCCUGCUGGUCAGACCGUCAAAAUGUUUUGUAUGGUAUCAUUUGUUGUGAACAAAUACACCUGGUACCGUCUGAACAAGACCACAUGGACAGCUAUGAAUAUUAACAACAAAUCUCUGACUCUAAUUGUCACCACUAAGGACUCUGGAGAAUACAAGUGUUCAGGUUAUUACAAUGGAACAAGGUACGACAGCAAUGCAGUAAACCUGACUGUGGUAGGCAGUGUGUAUGCAGGAGUGGCAGGGUUGGUGCUGGUUCUCAUUGCCGGGGUCUUACUGACCUUGUUGCUGCUGUGGCUCUGGAGGCAGCGGGCCAAAGAGAAGGCCGGUCAAGAGACCUUGGCCACCAAUAGUGCACCGGCCAAAGGAUAUACUGGACCUGCAAAAGCACCAAAGGGGAAGAGUCAGGCCCAGGCUGGGAAUGAGGGAGAAGUCUACAUAAACUGUGGUGAAUCCAACCAAGCCUACAGCGACCUGUACCCCACCUACAUGACAGGGGAUGAUACCUACGCCACCUUGGGAUGA